AGUCUUAUAAUCAAAAAUGAUAUAAAAUUGCAAAUUUUAAAGUAUAAUUUAUAAAUUAUUAAGGCUU
rnacentral:tRNA from 1 species